rnacentral:lncRNA from 1 species
CCCGAAUCAACUUCUACUUCUUCACCUGAAUUUUCAUCAAGAUAAGGAUUAAUAUCACCAUAAAUUUGUUGUAAAAGUUCAUGAUCGAGUUGAGCAUUUGAAUCAAUAUCAUAAGAAGUAUCAUCAACAUAAGUAGAAUCAUUUGUAUUAACUCUAACUCUAGAAGUACCACCACAUUUACUCUUAUUUUUUUCCUUACUACUUUUUUUAUUAAAAUUAAAUAAUCUACUAAAGCCACUUGGUUCUUUCUCUUUUCCUUUACCGGUAUCUUUUUUGUUAGAACUCAUAUUUAAUUAUAUGUAAAGUAUAAUAUAAAAAUAAUAAUAACACAAAAAUUAAUUGACAAAAAAUAAAAUAUAAAUAUUAUGAAACGAAUGUACCAAACGUCUGCGUUAAUAGCAGACGUUAUAACCGAUUCUUGAAGCUUGUAGUUUGGUGUAACUUGUAAUUUGGAACUCCAAUAUUUGAUACCAAAUAUGAGAAUUAUAUAUAUUAUGAUAUAUAAUAUGAAAAUUUAGAGUUGAAAUAUAUGUAUUAUGAUAUAAUAUGAGACUUAAAUGGAAUAAAAAAUUGAGACUUAAGAUUGAGACUUGAGAGGAUAUAAAAAAUAAAUGAGAG